UACGUAGGGUGCAAGCGUUGUCCGGAAUUAUUGGGCGUAAAGAGCUCGUAGGCGGUCUGUCGCGUCUGCUGUGAAAACCUAGGGCUUAACUCUGGGCGUGCAGUGGGUACGGGCAGACUAGAGUGCGGUAGGGGAGACUGGAAUUCCGUGGUGUAGCGGUGAAAUGCGCAGAUAUCAGGAGGAACACCGAUGGGCGAAGGCAGGUCUCUGGGC
rnacentral:rRNA from 1 species